AGAACGAACGCUGGCGGCACGCCUAACACAUGCAAGUCGAGCGCCCAGCAAUGGGAGCGGCGGACGGGUGAGUAACACGUGGGAAUAUGCCUUUCGGUACGGAACAACUCAGGGAAACUUGAGCUAAUGCCGUAUACGCCCUUACGGGGAAAGAUUUAUCGCCGAAAGAUUAGCCCGCGUCUGAUUAGCUAGUUGGUGAGGUAAUGGCUCACCAAGGCUUCGAUCAGUAGCUGGUUUGAGAGAACGACCAGCCACACUGGGACUGAGACACGGCCCAGACUCCUACGGGAGGCAGCAGUGGGGAAUCUUGGACAAUGGGGGAAACCCUGAUCCAGCGAUGCCGCGUGAGUGAUGAAGGCCUUCGGGUUGUAAAACUCUUUCGACGGGACGAUAAUGACGGUACCCGUAGAAGAAGCUCCGGCUAACUUCGUGCCAGCAACCGC
rnacentral:rRNA from 1 species